UACAGAGGGUGCAAGCGUUGCUCGGAAUUAUUGGGCGUAAAGGGGAAGUAGGUUGUCUUGUUUGUCUGGGGUGAAAUCCCUGAGCUUAACUCAGGAAGUGCCUCGGAAACGGCAAGACUAGAGUUCUGGAGAGGGUCGCGGAAUUCCCGGUGUAGCAGUGAAAUGCGUAGAUAUCGGGAGGAACACCAGAGGCGAAAGCGGCGGCCUGGACAGAUACUGACACUCAAUUCCGAAAGCGUGGGGAUCAAACAGGAUUAGAUACCCUGGUAGUCCACGCUGUAAACGAUUGGUACUAGACUUGGCGGGUUUUGACCCCUGCUGAGUCGGAGCUAACGCAAUAAGUACCACGCCUGAGGAGUACGGUCGCAAGAUUAAA
rnacentral:rRNA from 1 species